GAAAUAUCUUCUUUCUGCUAAAGAUUACAAUUUUUCAUUUAGGGAACUGUGAAUAUUUUCUGUGAGGUUUACAGAAACUAGUGUAUCCUUUUCACUAUGUUGAAAAGACAAUCUGAACUUUAGCUAUUUAUAUUUCAGUAUUAACACACCUUCACUGAUUGAGAGUCUUGAGCCCUUCUCUACUUUUAUAAAGUGAAUCCUAUUUCCAAGUCAUCCAUGUCUUUUGAAGUCUGUUUCUUAUAUAAGUAUUUAUUACUUUACUGUUUAGCAUAAAUAGGAGACAGAAAAGGAUAAUAAACUACUAGGUCCUUUAUUCCUAUUAAAAUAAAUUUAUAAAUCCCUUGAAUCAACUGAAUUCUAAGCUUUUUGAAGAGGUUGCUGAUGUAGUGUGAUCAAAAGAAUCUAAGGAGAACCUCCUCUCCAAAAUCUGAUUGGAGCUGUUCACCCUCUCAAGGACAAGAUAAAGAUUGACUUCAGAGAUAUAUCACAUCAAGCUAGAGGAAAAAAAAA
rnacentral:lncRNA from 1 species